GAUGAACGCUGGCGGCGUGCCUAAUACAUGCAAGUCGAGCGGACGGACGAGAAGCUUGCUUCUCUGAUGUUAGCGGCGGACGGGUGAGUCACACGUGUAUAACCUACCUAUAAGACUGAGAUAACUUCGGGAAACCGGAGCUAAUACCGGAUAAUAUUUUGAACCGCAUGGUUCAAAAGUGAAAGACGGUCUUGCUGUCCCUUAUAGAUGGAUCCGCGCUGCAUUAGCUAGUUGGUAAGGUAACGGCUUACCAAGGCUACGAUGCAUAGCCGACCUGAGAGGGUGAUAGGCCACACUGGAACUGAGACACGGUCCAGACUCCUACGGGAGGCAGCAGUAGGGAAUCUUCCGCAAUGGGCGAAAGCCUGACGGAGCAACGCCGCGUGAGUGAUGAAGGUCUUCGGAUCGUAAAACUCUGUUAUUAGGGAAGAACAUAUGUGUAAGUAAAUGUGCACAUCUUGACGGUACCUAAUCAGAAAGCCACGGCUAACUACGUG
rnacentral:rRNA from 1 species